rnacentral:pre_miRNA from 1 species
CCCACAUCUAUGUGUGUAGGACACCAAAGGAUCACCAUUAAAUUUGACACAGAUUUCUAGAAAAGUUAUCACAUGGGUGUGGAACUUGACUUUUCUAGGGAUCUGUGCCAAAUUUAAUGGUGAUCCUUUGGGGUCCUACACACAUGGGUGUGGG